rnacentral:rRNA from 1 species
CCCUUAGAUGUUCUGGGCUGCACGCGCGCUACACUGAUGCACUCAACGAGUUUACGACCUUGCCCGAUAGGGUUGGGUAAUCUUUUUAAAAUGCAUCGUGAUGGGGAUAGAUUAUUGCAAUUAUUAAUCUUCAACGAGGAAUUCCUAGUAAGCGCGAGUCAUCAGCUCGUGCUGAUUACGUCCCUGCCCUUUGUACACACCGCCCGUCGCUCCUACCGAUUGAGGGCUCAGGUGAAUAAUUCGGACUGCAGCAAUGUUUGGAUCCCGAACGUUGCAGCGGAAAGUUUAGUGAACCUUAUCACUUAGAGGAAGGAGAAGUCGUAACA